rnacentral:rRNA from 1 species
UACGGGGGGGGCAAGCGUUGUUCGGAUUCAUUGGGCGUAAAGGGUGCGUAGGUGGCGCUGUAAGUCAGGUGUGAAAUUUCGGAGCUUAACUCCGAAACUGCAUUUGAUACUGCGGUGCUUGAGGACUGGAGAGGAGACUGGAAUUCACGGUGUAGCAGUGAAAUGCGUAGAGAUCGUGAGGAAGACCAGUGGCGAAGGCGGGUCUCUGGACAGUUCCUGACACUGAGGCACGAAGGCCAGGGGAGCAAACGGG